rnacentral:rRNA from 1 species
UACAGAGGGGCCAAGCGUUGUCCGGAUUGACUGGGCGUAAAGCGCACGCAGGCGGAUGCGCGCGUGGGGUGUGAAAUCUGGCCGCUUAACGGCCAGGCGCCAUCCCAUACGGCGCGUCUGGAGUGAUGCAGAGGUCGAUGGAAUUGCCGGUGUAGUGGUGAAAUGCGUAGAGAUCGGCAGGAACACCCAGGGGGAAACCAGUCGACUGGGCAUCUACUGACGCUGAGGUGCGAGAGCGUGGGGAGCGAACCGG